CAACAGCUAGAGUUUGAUCCUGGCUCAGGAUGAACGCUGGCGGCGUGCCUAACACAUGCAAGUCGAACGAGGAACAUCCGGAAGGUCUUCGGACCGGAAAGAUAUUCCGAGUGGCGGACGGGUGAGUAACGCGUGGGUAACCUGCCCUGUACAGGGGGACAACAGUUGGAAACGACUGCUAAUACCGCAUAAGCGCACGGGAUCGCAUGUUCCUGUGUGAAAAACUCCGGUGGUACAGGAUGGACCCGCGUCUGAUUAGCUGGUUGGUGAGGUAACGGCCCACCAAGGCGACGAUCAGUAGCCGACCUGAGAGGGUGAUCGGCCACAUUGGGACUGAGACACGGCCCAAACUCCUACGGGAGGCAGCAGUGGGGGAUAUUGCACAAUGGGGGAAACCCUGAUGCAGCAACGCCGCGUGAGUGAAGAAGUAUUUCGGUAUGUAAAGCUCUAUCAGCAGGGAAGAAGAUGACGGUACCUGCAUAAGAAGCCCCGGCUAACUACGUGCC
rnacentral:rRNA from 1 species